rnacentral:lncRNA from 10 species
AGCGCGCCUUGCUCACCGUGGUCCCCGGCGGUGGCGGCGCGGGCGGGAGCCUCAGGGCGCGGGGGUCGGCGGCGGGUCGCGUGGGGGUCACCCGGCCGCUGCUGCGGUCCGGACGGCAGUUGGUCCAGUAGUUUCGGAUGCCCGGGCUAGGCUCGGCGGAGAGCGAGUCGGCGUGAAUGAGAGCAAACCAACAGGGCUGUGCGUGGCGCGUAAAGAAGUGUUGAAGAAGAGAGAGACAGAAGAAAAUCACCAUAAAAAGUCAGACACGAGAGCUUAGAAGUCAAUUAAGACAGGGCUUGGAAGGGGCAUUAGGAAUUCUGUGCUCAAGAAUUUUUGCAUCCAUCAAAUCCUAGAAAUUAGAGUCCGCACAUUACUACCAGGUUUUUGGGGAACCGGUGUUACAUGAAGGUGCUGUUAACACUGGGAGUAGUGCUUUCUCUUAUUGAGAAAAAAAAAACACCUCUGUUUGCAUCUGUAGACAAAGAUCUGUUCAGAAUGGUUGGCUUUGUGAGUUUACAGCUGGCCGAUGAGAGGUGCUGCAUGAUAUUGGAAGAUGGGACAGAAGGAACCAGUAUUCUGCAGAGGCAGUUGCAUGAGCAGAUAUGAAAUGUCCUGGAGGCUCCCCCAGUAAGCUGAGAAGCACCUGCUUUCCCACUAUAGACUGAGACCACUGAUGGAAGCUUCCCAGAGAUUUGAGAAUUGCAGAAGCUUCUGUGAGCUAUGAAGAACAACGUGACUUUGACCUUCAGACUGAGAUAUAGCUGGAGGCUGCUUUGACCUUCUUUCCCACAGCUCUUUUGACCUUUCUAAAGCCCCAAACCCUAUCUUAAAAAUGACAAAUAUGGAAUGCAAAGAGCAGCUUUUCUUUUUCUGAUCAUGGCCUUAAUGUAAUACAAUAGUGAAACCGUCUAGCAUAGUGAUUAAGAACAUUGGCUGUAGAAUUAGACAUAUUUAGUUUAGCAUUUUGAUUCUACCCCAAACUGGCAAAGUUACUGAAUGUAUCUAAAUUUUAAUUUGCUCA